rnacentral:rRNA from 1 species
GAUGAACGCUGGCGGCAGGCUUAACACAUGCAAGUCGAGCGGGGGAAGGUAGCUUGCUACCGGACCUAGCGGCGGACGGGUGAGUAAUGCUUAGGAAUCUGCCUAUUAGUGGGGGACAACAUCUCGAAAGGGAUGCUAAUACCGCAUACGUCCUACGGGAGAAAGCAGGGGAUCUUCGGACCUUGCGCUAAUAGAUGAGCCUAAGUCGGAUUAGCUAGUUGGUGGGGUAAAGGCCUACCAAGGCGACGAUCUGUAGCGGGUCUGAGAGGAUGAACCGCCACACUGGGACUGAGACACGGCCCAGACUCCGACGGGAGGCAGCAGUGGGGAAUAUUGGACAAUGGGGGGAACCCUGAUCCAGCCAUGCCGCGUGUGUGAAGAAGGCCUUAUGGUUGUAAAGCACUUUAAGCGAGGAGGAGGCUACUUUAGUUAAUACCUAGAGAUAGUGGACGUUACUCGCAGAAUAAGCACCGGCUAACUCUGUGCCAGCAGCCGCAGUAAAAC